CCUGCGCCGUCUACGCAGGCGCGGCAAUCUGUAGGCAAGCCGCCCGUACCGGCACGGGGCGGCACAGAUCAAUAAGGAGG
rnacentral:ncRNA from 1 species